rnacentral:rRNA from 1 species
AGCGAACGCUGGCGGCGCGCCUUACACAUGCAAGUCGAACGUGAAAGGGCUUCGGCCUAAGUAAAGUGGCGCACGGGUGAGUAAUACGUAGAUAAUCUACCCUAGAGCCUGGGAUAACCUGCCGAAAGGCGGGCUAAUACCGGAUAGAGCGAGGGGUUCGUGAAGGACCUUUCGGGAAAGGGAGCUCGCAAGAGCCCUCACUUUAGGAUGAGUCUGCGCCCGAUUAGCUAGUUGGUGGGGUAAUGGCUCACCAAGGCGAUGAUCGGUAGCUGGUCUGAGAGGAUGAUCAGCCACACUGGAACUGAAACACGGUCCAGACUCCUACAGGAGGCAGCAGUGGGGAAUCUUGCGCAAUGGACGAAAGUCUGACGCAGCGACGCCGCGUGAGUGAAGAAGGCCUCGGUUGUAAG